ACGCUGGCGGCAUGCCUUACACAUGCAAGUCGAACGGCAGCGACGGGAGCAAUCCUGGUGGCGAGUGGCGAACGGGUGAGUAAUAUAUCGGAACGUGCCCAGUCGGUGGGGGAUAACGUAGCGAAAGCUACGCUAAUACCGCAUACGAUCUAUGGAUGAAAGCGGGGGAUCGCAAGACCUCGCGCGAUUGGAGCGGCCGAUAUCAGAUUAGGUAGUUGGUGAGGUAAAGGCUCACCAAGCCGACGAUCUGUAGCUGGUCUGAGAGGACGACCAGCCACACUGGAACUGAGACACGGUCCAGACUCCUACGGGAGGCAGCAGUGGGGAAUUUUGGACAAUGGGCGCAAGCCUGAUCCAGCAAUGCCGCGUGCAGGAUGAAGGCCUUCGGGUUGUAAACUGCUUUUGUACGGAACGAAACGGUGAGCUCUAAUACAGUUUGCUAAUGACGGUACCGUAAGAAUAAGCACCGGCUAACUACGUG
rnacentral:rRNA from 1 species